rnacentral:rRNA from 1 species
GACGAACGCUGGCGGCGUGCUUAACACAUGCAAGUCGAACGGAAAGGCCCUGCUUUUGUGGGGUUCUCGAGUGGCGAACGGGUGAGUAACACGUGAGUAACCUGCCCUUGUCUUUGGGAUAACUUCAGGAAACUGGGGCUAAUACCGGAUAGGAGCUCCUGCUGCAUGGUGGGGGUUGGAAAGUUUCGGCGGUUGGGGAUGGACUCGCGGCUUAUCAGCUUGUUGGUGGGGUAGUGGCUUACCAAGGCUUUGACGGGUAGCCGGCCUGAGAGGGUGACCGGGGACAUUGGGACUGCGAUACGGCCCAGACUCCUACGGGGGGCAGCAGUGGGGAAUAUUGCACAAUGGGCGGAAGCCUGAUGCAGCAACGCCGCGUGCGGGAUGACGGCCUUCGGGUUGUAAACCGCUUUCGCCUGUGACGAAGCGUGAGUGACGGUAAUGGGUAAAGAAGCACCGGCUAACUACGUG